UUGCAGCAGAAACUCAAACCCAGACAUGGCCCCUGGCAGCAGCUCAGGCCCAGAUGUCACCAUGGCCUAGGUGGCAGCACAGGCCACCCAGAUCAGUAUGGCCCACACAACAGUGUGGCCCUUGAACACCAACAUGGUCUCAGGUGGCAGCCCAGACCCCUGGCAUUGGCAUGGCCUUUGAUGGUAUCAGGAGCCACAGACAUGAACAUAGACCCUGGCUGCAGCAGAGCCACAGACCCAUGGCCUGGACAACACCAUGACCCCAGAUCUCAUUGGUUGGAGCAGGAUCCUGAUACGAGAUUCUGGAAUCCUUGAACACAUGAAAUCUAGCAUGAAACAGUGACUCCUGAGUUUAACUAGGAUUGCUUACAUGCGUAAAGGUGAGAAGCUACUUACUGGAACAAAUUUUCUACGUAUGUUCUCCGUAAUAAGAUUUGUUCUUAUUUGUUUGCCUCUGAGGGAAGAUGGCUUAGCGGAACUGAAGGAAUCUACUUAUGAGAAAGACUCGUGCCCCUAAGACGUCUGUAGCGUAUGAAA